GCCUGAGUGACUCAGUGGGUUGAGUGUCUGUCUUCAGCUCAGGUCAUGAUCCCAGGGUCCUGGGAUCAAGUCCCAGAUCAGGUU
rnacentral:tRNA from 1 species